ensembl:lncRNA
UGAGACAGUGUUACUAGCACACUCACGUCCUGGUCGUUACUGAGCGAUGCCUGUGGGCUUAGGGCUGUGCGGCAACGUGAGGAUGAGGCACCGCUAUCGAGAGGCAGCAGAGGGCAGGGUAGAGCUGGGAAAGAUGGCCUGAAUUGGGCUUUGUAAAUUUAAUUCAGCAGAGAUAAGGGAAAGCAGGGAGAUGACAUCUUGUGUCUUGCUUUCACAGGAUACAGCAGCGUUGGCAAUGACAUAACAGAAAAAGGAAGAUGAGUGGCUGCGCUACGAAGAGAAAAAUCAUCUUUGUACAUGAAAAAGCAGCCAUUCAAGACUAUGGAGUUUAAUGCAUCGUCACCCAUUUAUCACUUCUGGAUUUCUCUGUUACGAUUUCUGUGUUCUAACUUAAUAAAAUAGGUUGGUACUUGGUAAUCAUGAACUAAUGCCAGAUAACUGUUUCUUUCAUCAAUGAUCUUUUCAACACUAAGUGUUGCUCCAGCUUAUGCUUGUCCACCUUGAUGUGAUUGUUUUUACUGCAUAGAUUCUUUAAAAUGUCAGAUUGAUUAAGGGUGGAAGAUUGAUAGAUAAACUUGUGAGAUUGGAAAGAUCUAUGAUCUCAAAUAAACAGUAGAAAUUUAGUCAUUCAGAUAUGAGCAGCAGUUUCUCCUCCAGGUAAAGUUUACAGACUUUCAAUUGGUGAUUUGUAUUCUUGUUUUUCUGUUGUUGUUUUCUUUUUCUUUUCUGUUUUUAUGUGUGUGCAUAAUAUGAAGUAUAGAUCUGUUGCUGAUAUUUUGAUGCUAUACCCCUCCCAGUUAAUCCUUUCUAUUGCAUUAAACAUAAAUAAUAUGUUAGCAUUAGUGUUUGUCAGUUGACUUCUCAAAUAUUAAGGCCAAUUCACUUAUGUUAGGCUUAUAAUAACCAUAGGGCACUUCAUAAGUAAAGAGAAGAGAUGGAUGAUUCAGCUGUCUUCUCAUUAAGCUUAGAACUCCAAUUGAGGUAGUAAAUGCCAGUGGGUCAUUAACUUAGCUCUUUGAGCUGAAGUCCUAAUGUUAAACUAGAUAAUGUCAAAUUCAAAUCCCUAUCCUUAAAAAAGUAACCUUAAUCAUAAAUAAUAUAUCUGUAUAACAAACCCUAAGAGGAUUCUAAGCACAAGUUCUUUUGUAGAAAGUAAUUUGACCAAGGUGAUUUAUUUAUUUAGUUAAUUUUAAUACAGAUAAUUACUUUGUUAAUAUUUUCAUGUAGAACAAAAAGGUGAGUCCAGAAUUAUUGCAAGGACUUGAUCUAAAGUCAUUCUUUUAUUUAGAACUUCUCAAGCCAGUUCAGUGACUUAGUUUUUCCUAUCAUUCCUAUUUUCCUGUCACUCAGGUCGUAAUCAUAUGAUUUUAAUUUAACACUCCAAUAAAAAUAAACAUUCAAAUAGCAUUUUCCACUUAAAUGUCUUCAACAAUGGACCCAGAAUCAUGUUUAUUCAUUCCUCAAUUAAACAUUGGGUUUUACUGUCCCCCAUACUGAGGAGACAAUGAAAUUCUUCACAAACAAAUUCAGUCUUCUUUUCUUUGAUCAUUGACCAAAGAAAUGUAGAAUCAAAUUUCAGACCAAGUAAAUGUCAAGAUGGCAGAAAAAUUCUCUUUGGGAUCAGCUUGAAAUUUACAUGUCUUCCUGAAGAGAAGUACCACUUUUUCAGAACCUGACAUAAUUGUUAUUAAAAUCAAAUUGCUACUUAAUUCCAGAAAACUAUUACCGAUUUUAGUGUUUGAGAAGAUAUUUUGUCUAUAUUUGCUCUGUCUUGCAGAAUGAAGCUUAUUUCUUGAAUGAGCAAACACAUUUUGUUCUCUAUUUUCUGUUGAUUUCAGAGUAAUAUAACUACAAAUGGGAGGAAAUAUGGUUUCUUUCAUCUUUCUAACUAAAGAAGUGAAAGCAUUCAAUAAAUUUAUUACUGUUCUCAGAUCUGUCAGCAUUUCAGAUUAAGAUGUACAAUUUUCCUUCAAUAAAUAAUAUAAGCUCCCU